rnacentral:rRNA from 1 species
GACGAACGCUGGCGGCGUGCUUAACACAUGCAAGUCGAACGGAAAGGCCCUGCUUUUGUGGGGUGCUCGAGUGGCGAACGGGUGAGUAACACGUGAGUAACCUGCCCUUGACUUUGGGAUAACUUCAGGAAACUGGGGCUAAUACCGGAUAGGAGCUCCUGCUGCAUGGUGGGGGUUGGAAAGUUUCGGCGGUUGGGGAUGGACUCGCGGCUUAUCAGCUUGUUGGUGGGGUAGUGGCUUACCAAGGCUUUGACGGGUAGCCGGCCUGAGAGGGUGACCGGCCACAUGGGGACGGAGAAAGGGCCAAGACUCCAAGGGGAGGCAGAGGGGGGGAAAAUUGAAAAAGGGGGGGAAGCCGGAGGCAGCAACGCCGCGGGGGGGAGGAGGGCCUUGGGGUUGAAAACCGCUUUCGCGUGUGACGAAGGGGGAGGGACGGUAAUGGGUAAAGAAGCACCGGCUAACGACG